GGGAAUUUGAACUCUACUCGUCGGGGUUCGGUUGUGGUUUGGUUUUGGACGAAGCGGUUUUGGUUUCUGAGACUAUUACUGGGAAUAAAUGUCGUCUUUAAGCAGAGAACUGGUGUUUCUCAUACUUCAAUUCCUCGAGGAGGAGAAGUUCAAGGAAUCGGUGCACAGGCUGGAGAAAGAAUCUGGGUUUUACUUCAAUAUGAAGUACUUUGAGGAUAAAGUUCAGGCUGGAGAAUGGGA
rnacentral:misc_RNA from 1 species